rnacentral:rRNA from 1 species
CCUACGGGUGGCAGCAGUGGGGGAUAUUGCACAAUGGAGGAAACUCUGAAGCAGCGACGCAGCGUGAGGGAUGACGGCCCUCGGAUUGUAAACCUUCGUUUUUGGGGAAGUAAAUGACGGUAUGCAAAGUGCAUGCCCUGGAUAACUUGGUGCAAGCAGCCGCGGCAACAGGCGGGGAGCGGGCGUUGUACGGAAUUUCGGGGUGUAAAGGGAGCGUAGGGGGGCGAUAAAGUUGUAUGGUAAGUCUACCGGCUUAACUGGUAGCUGCGUUCGACACUUGUUGUCUUGAGUAAAGUAGAGGCAGGCGGAAUUCCUGGUGUAGCGGUGAAAUGCGUAGAUAUUAGGAAGAACUCCGAUGGCGAAGGCAGCCUGCUGGACUUUAACUGACGCUGAGGCUCGAAAGCGUGGGUAUCAAACAGGAUUAGAUACCCCAGUAGUC